rnacentral:lncRNA from 1 species
GAAAACCUUUUUACGAGUUGCAUCUCCUAGCUCCGUAGAUCUGAAGUCAAAGUUCGGUCUUCGUCAAACUCCGGCGAGCUUUUCCGGCGAAACCGUGGACUUCCGGCGAAAACCGACACCACCAUGGAGUUCCUCUCUUCGAGCUCUACGCCGUGGUGUGGUGGAUUGCAUGAAUCCGAUGUCGGCUCCGUCGUCUUCCCCAACUCCGGCGAGCUUUUCCGCCGCCAUUGUUCAUCUCUUGCCGAAGGUGAGCAUACCAUCUUGUUCGCCUCGUCGAUAUCGUUCCAUUUUGCCGUUCAUGCGCGAGAUCGGGCUUCGUUUCCAGUUUUCCCAUCUUUCUCUCUCCUGUUUGUUUUUCUGUUUCUGUAAACAACCGAGAACCAUGGCUGCCGCCUGGUUCGCCCAGCUCGCCCGCCGUGCGCUGCAGCUGCCCGCCGCCGCCGGCGCGCCUUGCGCACCUAGCGCCGCCGCGCCCCUGGCCUGGCCCGGCCCCGGCCGCCGUCGCCGGCCAGCGCCGCCGGGAAGCCCGGGAGGGCCGGUCGGGCAGUUCAACCGUGAGGUUGAAGAUGAGUUGGUGAUUUUGCUAUUAGGCCCCUGAGGAAAACUCAAAUUUUCAGCUUAUUUCUUGUGUCUUGGCAACUUCACAGAAAACCCCUCGAUCUUUCCGGUCCCAUUGAAUUUAAACCGAGCCUCACAAUCUUUUGGAUCUAACCCUGUUAUUUCUAUUAUUUGCGAGUACUAUUCCUGGUGUCUUGCAAAUUUUCCUUGCUAACCCCUGAGGUCUACGGUUAAUUACGUUUAGGCCCCUGCAACGUUGUUUAACCCAUAGAUUCUACGUUUUAGCUCCGUUUUAAUCCGUUCAAGUUGCGUUAGAUGCAUAACAAUGUAAAUUACACGUUAGUGGUAAUGUUUUCCUUCACACAUGUUUUUGAAAAUAAAAUUUAUAUUAAAAUUGAUUAAUGCCUGACAAACGAGUUGUUCUCUAAAUAAAAUCUAUUUAGUGUUAAACAUCGUUUUUCAUAAUAAUUGUUAAUUUGAUUAAUGCCUACUUCAUACCCUCUUCUAAAUAAAAGCCAAUUAGGUUAUAUAUCGGUUUUUCAUAAACUAAAGUUAAUUGGAUUAAUGCCUAUCUAAAUAAUUCUUCCAAUUAAAAGCCACUUAGAGUUAUACCUCGGCGUUUCAUAAAUUAAAUUCAAUUUGAUUAAUGUUUAUUCAAUUUGUUUUCUAAAUAAAAUCUGUAUAGGUUAUAUCUCGAGUUUUCAUAAUUAAAUAUUAAUUUGGCUAAUAUAAAUAUAAAUGUGUUCUGAAUUUAAUCUACUUAGUUGAACUCGAGAUGUAAAGCUAUACACUUAGAUGUCUACAUGUAUCUUAUUUUUAAAUUAAAUGUUUAAUUUGCAUAAAUUGUACUCAAAUAUUUAUAAAUAAAAUUGGACUAAGCUUUACACCAUCUUUUCUUAUGAAAAUAUAAAUAUGACUUGAUUAAUUCUAACUAAGGAUAUUUCUCUGAAAUAUCUUUACAUUGCUUUUCUCAACUAAAAUAAACAAAGCUUGUAGCUCUUAUCUUUCUUUUAUAAUUCAAAACUCUCGAUAGCUUUAUCUUUUCAACCAUAGUUCCGUUGUAAGCGUUCCUGCGUCCGCGUAAUCCUAGAAUCGAGCCAUGUUCUUUUAUUACGCUCUUUUAAAGCAUGUCUUUUGUUUUGGUGUACUACUCUUAGUUGUAUUUGUUUGUUUGCUUGUAUGAUUGUGCCGGUGAUUGCUUUGAGUAGAAGGAUCGCUGUUCGAAAGCUUUGAAGAUUAAGAGUUUCAAGAGAGCAAGAGCCGAAGAGCAGUAAGAAGUAACUUGUCGCUGGAGAAAGGCAAGUGUGUCCUUGUGCUUUUGUCCCAAUAACUUUGUUUAAUCACUAUUGCAUAUGCUUGCAUUAAAUUUGUUGGGUCCUAUUAAGGUUUGCCUAGUUUUUAUGAUUAUCCCUUGCCAACCUGGGUUUACCUUUUUGUUGGGUAGCUAUGCUUAGCUGCUAUACUUGGGUUAUGGUGGUUCUAACGAACAACAUGAUGAACUUAUUCUAUUUAUGAUAUACCUUUUGUUAAUACAAGAUUACAAUAUUUAAUUGGAACAUGGAGCGACCACCCAGGAAAAUAGUGCUACCACAAGACUAAAUGGCUCUGGUCUUGGCUAAUUAAUUAGAAACCUUAGUCUGGGGUGACCUUACUCGUGAUGAGGCAAGAGGGGGGACUGAGUCGUUGCAACUUACCUGGGAUGGGUGGUGCACGCCAGACACCGAAACCUUAGCGGGUUACCACUGACUAAUGAAUCUUUGUAAAGGCCUCGUAGCGUCCCUAUGCAAUCACACCUCGGAAGUGUGGUAUUGUGCCUGAUCAGCACAAGCGUGGUUGGGUCUAAAGUUCUUUUGAACUUUUACGCGACUUGUGGGUAAAGAUGUGCAACCUCUGCAGAGUGUAAAACUGAUCGAUCAGCCGUGCUCACGGUUAAGAGCGGCCUGGACCCUCAAAUGAGUAAUAUACUUGAAGAUGGAUUUAAAUUGUGGUUUAUGCUAUGGUUUUGGUUGUGCCAUAUGCUUAUGGCUUAUAUUUAUGUUUAUAUUAAUUGUGGGUUGGUAUAUACUUAUACCUUAGUAAUUAGGUGCUAAUAAAAUUUGACCAACUAAAAAUGCUUAAUGCAGUCAACCGGUCAGCCUUUCCUUGUUUAACCCUUGCAUUCAUAUUCUCCUCACACUUGCUGAGUACGACAAGUGCUCACCCUUGCUAUACACAACGUUGCUCAGAAGAAGAAGCUGCUAUGAAGUUGUUGUGAAGAUGGUGCUGAGUCCUAGGCGUACGCAGCCCCCAGUCGAUUGCCUGUGAAGUUUGGAGCCUCCGUUUCCAUAAUUAAGCUGUAUAUCUCUGAUGGUUUCGUAAGUCUUUGUAUCUUUUUACGUGAUACUGUUGUUGUUAUUCACUAAUGAUGUCACUAUAUGUAUGAAACUUGAUCCUGGCAUACAUAUAGGUAGCACUUGGUAUUAUCCUUAAAACCGGGUGUGACACCCCCAGCACAUCUAUUCCUCUAGUCUAAGGGUCAGAUCACAAGCUCCUUUCCAUCCAACCCUUUUACCUUGUUCUUCUCCAACUCAAGUGAACUUCCUCACUUUAUCCGUAGCUUUGCUACAACCUUCUGGGCUAAAAACUUGCAAGUGUUGUUGUUGAAAUAACCGUCUAAAGUGCUAACCCUUGCAUUUGCAUUUCGUGUAGAGUUGCAUCUCGCCGACGGUGUCUACGAGUUGUACCCCGCGCCAGAAGACGAAGCUGCAGCAGAGCUCCCGCCUCUAGAAGCCGAAGCCACCCCCGCAGUUCUUUCACUAACUUUUGUUUGUCCUGCUCAAUUAGUCCUUGCAUUAAGUGGCACUACUCUUGAAUUAAUAGAAUGUGUAUUUUGUAUCACCUUUUUAACUCUAAAUGAUAGCUUCAUGUUAAUGUCAAGUAGGUUUCUGCAUGAAGGAUUAUGAGAAAUAUUGAUGUUUUUACAAUUAGAUUUACUUUAAUAUUUUUUUUACAUGCAUACUGAUUAACACUUGUAUGUACUCCCUUUUUAUAUCAAGUGCGUGCCACACGUGCACUUCCACUAUAUGCGACAGAGUCUUUCAAAUUUGACUGAACAUGUUCAUCUUCAACUUCAUUGGAUCUACAACUUUCAUCCCAAAUAGAAUUUGC